GGGUCUAUAGUGUACCGGUUAACACGGCUCUCUGUGGAAGAGCAGAAAUGGGUUCAAUUCCCAUUAGACCCC
rnacentral:tRNA from 1 species